rnacentral:rRNA from 1 species
AGCAGCCGCGGUAAUUCCAGCUCCAAUAGCGUAUAUUAAAGUUGUUGCAGUUAAAAAGCUCGUAGUUGAAUUUCGGGAUCAAUAUGUUGGUCGUGCCUUGGUACGUACUAAUUUAUUGGUUUCUUCCUUCUGACGAACCAUGAUGUCAUUAAUUUGGUGUCUUGGGGAAUCAGGACUGUUACUUUGAAAAAAUUAGAGUGUUUAAAGCAGGCUCACGCUUGGAUACAUUAGCAUGGAAUAAUGAAAUAGGACGUUUGAUUCUAUUUUGUUGGUUUCUAGGAUCGACGUAAUGAUUAAUAGGGAUAGUUGGGGGCAUUAGUAUUCAAUUGUCAGAGGUGAAAUUCUUGGAUUUAUUGAAGACUAACUACUGCGAAAGCAUUUGCCAAGGAUGUUUUCAUUAAUCAAGAACGAAAGUUAGGGGAUCGAAGACGAUCAGAUACCGUCGUAGUCUUAACCAUAAACUAUGCCGACUAGGGAUCGGAUGAUGUAAUUUUUAAUGACUCAUUCGGCGCCUUACGGG